rnacentral:rRNA from 1 species
GAUGAACGCUGGCGGCGUGCCUAAUACAUGCAAGUCGAGCGAACAGAUGAGGAGCCUGCUCCUCUGACGUUAGCGGCGGACGGGUGGGUAACACGUGGAUAACCUACCUAUAAGACUGGGAUAACUUCGGGAAACCGGAGCUAAUACCGGAUAAUAUAUUGAACCGCAUGGUUCAAUAGUGAAAGACGGUUUUGCUGUCACUUAUAGAUGGAUCCGCGCCGCAUUAGCUAGUUGGUAAGGUAACGGCUUACCAAGGCAACGAUGCGUAGCCGACCUGAGAGGGUGAUCGGCCACACUGGAACUGAGACACGGUCCAGACUCCUACGGGAGGCAGCAGUAGGGAAUCUUCCGCAAUGGGCGAAAGCCUGACGGAGCAACGCCGCGUGAGUGAUGAAGGUCUUCGGAUCGUAAAACUCUGUUAUUAGGGAAGAACAAAUGUGUAAGUAACUAUGCACGUCUUGACGGUACCUAAUCAGAAAGCCACGGCUAACUACGUGCCAGCAGCCGCCGUAA